AUUACAGAGUCCCUGUGUCUGCCACAGGUUUCCUAGGAGAGGCGUCAUUGCAACAGGCCUAGGAGGGGACUGGCUUGGGAAAAAAAGAAGAAGAAUAUUGUGUGUGAUAUGCAGGAACUGAGAAAUAGGCUCAAACUUUGGAACAAAUACCGAAUUUCCAACAUUCCGUCACUCAUAUUCCUCGACGCCACCACCGGGAAGGUUGUGUGCAGGAAUGGGCUGCUGGUGAUCCGAGAUGACCCAGAAGGUCUGGAGUUCCCCUGGGGACCGAAACCCUUCAGGGAAGUCAUUGCAGGGCCCUUGCUUAGAAACAACGGGCAGUCGCUGGAGAGCAGCAGCCUGGAGGGGUCUCACGUGGGCGUCUAUUUCUCUGCACAUUGGUGUCCGCCCUGCCGAAGCCUCACCCGGGUCCUGGUGGAAUCCUACCGGAAGAUCAAGGAGGCAGGCCAGAACUUUGAGAUCAUCUUCGUUAGUGCAGACAGGUCAGAGGAGUCCUUCAAACAGUACUUCAGUGAGAUGCCCUGGCUCGCCGUCCCCUACACUGACGAGGCCCGGCGGUCGCGCCUCAACCGGCUGUACGGAAUCCAAGGUAGGCGCUCCAGGCCCCGGCUCUGUGCAGCUCCUGAAAAGCUGCUCACCUGAGCUCAUCGUGUCUUUGGCUUUCCUUUAAGAAGAAGAGCAUCAUUAUUUCCAUGAAUAUUCAUGUUUCUCAGCAGUGUAGAAUUUUCAUGGUGUGAAUUCUAAGCCAUUUUUAAAAAAUAAGUAUUGUCAGGCCGGGCACAACAGCUCACACUGUAACCCCAGCACUUUGGGAGGCUGAGGCAGGCAGAUGACCUGAGGUCAGGAGUUCGAGACAAGUUUGGACAACACAGUGAAACCUGGUCUCUACUAAAAAUACAAAAA
rnacentral:sRNA from 1 species